rnacentral:rRNA from 1 species
GACGAACGCUGGCGGCGCGCCUAACACAUGCAAGUCGAACGAGCGAGCGAGAGCUUGCUUUCUUGAGCGAGUGGCGAACGGGUGAGUAACGCGUGAGGAACCUGCCUCAAAGAGGGGGACAACAGUUGGAAACGACUGCUAAUACCGCAUAAGCCCACGGUGCCGCAUGGCACAGAGGGAAAAGGAGCAAUCCGCUUUGAGAUGGCCUCGCGUCCGAUUAGCUAGUUGGUGAGGUAACGGCCCACCAAGGCGACGAUCGGUAGCCGGACUGAGAGGUUGAACGGCCACAUUGGGACUGAGACACGGCCCAGACUCCUACGGGAGGCAGCAGUGGGGAAUAUUGCACAAUGGGGGAAACCCUGAUGCAGCGACGCCGCGUGGAGGAAGAAAGUCUUCGGAUUGUAAACUCCUGUUGUUGGGGAAGAUAAUGACGGUACCCAACAAGGAAGUGACGGCUAACUACGUG